UAUACUUUCUAAAGUUUAGUAUUCUUAUUAUCUUUCAAUUACUUUCUAUUGUCUAUAAUUCAUCCAUACUCUUAUGGAAAGAAAUAAUCACUUGCGUCGGCACGUUGCCAGCCUUAGGCAGUCCCUUAUCGAUCAGGGAUAUGUUGAUGAGCAAUUUAUUGAGUUAGAAGAGCUACAAGAUGAUGAUACUCCUAACUUUGUAGAGGAAGUUGUUACUUUGUUUUAUAAUGAUUCUGCUCGUUUAAUCCAUAACAUUGAUCACUCACUGGAAAAAGAACCUGUUGAUUUUGCAAAGCUUGACAACUAUAUGCACCAGUUCAAGGGCAGUAGUUCAAGCAUUGGAGCCAAGAAGGUUAAAACUGAAUGUACACAGUUCAUGGAAUACUGCAGAGCAGGAAAUGUGGAAGGGAACAAAUUUAAAAGUCAAUUUUUGUUGCGCAAAGAAUCAAGGGAUGCAUUGUACAUGUUCAUUAUUAGUUUGGCUUACGACCCGAAACAUCUGGCUAAAGGUGAAGAAAUCUAACCAUCCCGCCACACCUUUAUGAUUUUUGACUUUUAUAGUAUUACAAUUCGUGCGUGAUUAUUAUUAUUUUUCCCAUGUUUUUGUACAUGAAUUGAAUGAAGAAGAUGCAAGAGAACUUUUCAACAAUUAAAGAGAGAAUAUGCGGUACUGAGAAAGAAGCUGGAAGUUUAUUUUCAGUAUGCAAGACAAGCUGGACCAAC